GAUGAACGCUGGCGGCGCGCCUAACACAUGCAAGUCGAACGAUUAAAGCACCUUCGGGUGUGUAUAAAGUGGCGAACGGCUGAGUAACACGUGGGCAACCUGCCCCUCUCAUUGGGAUAGCCACGGGAAACCGUGGAUAAUACCGAAUACUUCGGGACUUCCGCAUGGAAGACUCGAGAAAGCUCCGGCGGAGAGGGAUGGGCCCGCGGCCUGUUAGCUUGUUGGUGGGGUAAUGGCCUACCAAGGCAAUGAUGGGUAGCUGGGUUGAGAGACCGACCAGCCAGAUUGGGACUGAGACACGGCCCAGACUCCUACGGGAGGCAGCAGUGGGGAAUCUUGCACAAUGGGCGAAAGCCUGAUGCAGCGACGCCGCGUGCGGGACGAAGGCCUUCGGGUUGUAAACCGCUUUCAGCAGGGACGAGGCGAAAGUGACGGUACCUGCAGAAGAAGCCCCGGCUAACUACGUG
rnacentral:rRNA from 1 species